rnacentral:rRNA from 1 species
AAAGAGUGUGUAGGCGGUGCUCUAAGUUCGGUGUGAAAUCUCCUGGCUUAACUGGGAGGGUGCGCCGGAAACUGGAAUGCUCGAGCGUGGGAGAGGAAAGCGGAAUUCCUGGUGUAGCGGUGAAAUGCGUAGAUAUCAGGAGGAACACCUGUGGUGUAGACGGCUUUCUGGACCAUUGCUGACGCUGAGACACGAAAGCGUGGGUAGCAAACAGGAUUAGAUACCCUGGU